rnacentral:rRNA from 1 species
AUUGAACGCUGGCGGCAUGCCUUACACAUGCAAGUCGAACGGCAGCACGGGAGCUUGCUCCUGGUGGCGAGUGGCGAACGGGUGAGUAAAGCAUCGGAACGUGCCCUGAAGUGGGGGAUAACGUAGCGAAAGUUACGCUAAUACCGCAUAUUCUGUGAGCAGGAAAGCAGGGGAUCUUCGGACCUUGUGCUUUAGGAGCGGCCGAUGUCGGAUUAGCUAGUUGGUGAGGUAAAGGCUCACCAAGGCGACGAUCCGUAGCGGGUCUGAGAGGAUGAUCCGCCACACUGGGACUGAGACACGGCCCAGACUCCUACGGGAGGCAGCAGUGGGGAAUUUUGGGCAAUGGGCGCAAGCCUGAUCCAGCCAUGCCGCGUGAGUGAAGAAGGCCUUCGGGUUGUAAAGCUCUUUCGGCGGGGUAAGGAAAGUAGGCGACUCUCUAAUACA